UACGGGGGGAGCAAACGUUGUUCGGAAUCACUGGGCGUAAAGGGCGUGUAGGCGGCUGAAUAAGUGGGAUGUUAAAUCCCCCGGCUCAACCGGGGAACUGCAUCUCAUACUGUUCAGCUUGGGUACAGCAGAGGAGACUGGAAUUCCCGGUGUAGCGGUGAAAUGCGCAGAUAUCAGGAGGAACACCGAUGGCGAAGGCAGGUCUCUGGGCCAUAACUGACGCUGAGAAGCGAAAGCAUGGGGAGCGAACAGG
rnacentral:rRNA from 1 species